GUAGGUGACCUCGCGGAAGGAUCAUUACAGUAGUCACCCAGGUUGCCGCAAGGCCUCCUGGGUAACCUACCACCCUUUGUUUAUUACACUUUGUUGCUUUGGCAAGCCUGCCCUCGGGCUGCUGGCUCCGGCCGGCGAGCGCUUGCCAGAGGACCUAAACUCUGUUUGUCUAUACUGUCUGAGUACUAUAUAAUAGUUAAAACUUUCAACAACGGAUCUCUUGGUUCUGGCAUCGAUGAAGAACGCAGCGAAAUGCGAUAAGUAAUGUGAAUUGCAGAAUUCAGUGAAUCAUCGAAUCUUUGAACGCACAUUGCGCCCCCUGGUAUUCCGGGGGGCAUGCCUGUCCGAGCGUCAUUACAACCCUCAAGCUCAGCUUGGUAUUGGGCCCCGCCGACCCGGCGGGCCCUAAAGUCAGUGGCGGUGCCGUCCGGCUCCGAGCGUAGUAAUUCUUCUCGCUCUGGAGGUCCGGUCGUGUGCUCGCCAGCAACCCCCAAUUUUUUUCAGGUUGACCUCGGAUCAGGUAGGGAUACCCGCUGAACUUAAGCAUAUCAAUAAGCGGAGGAAAAGAAACCAACAGGGAUUACCUCAGUAACGGCGAGUGAAGCGGUAACAGUUCAAAUUUGAAAUCUGGCCUCACGGUCCGAGUUGUAAUUUGUAGAGGAUGCUUCGAGCAUGGUCUGGGCCUAAGUUCCUUGGAACAGGACGUCAUAGAGGGUGAGAAUCCCGUAUGCGGCCAGGUGCCUACGCUCAUGUGAAGCUCCUUUCGACGAGUCGAGUUGUUUGGGAAUGCAGCUUCAAAUGGGUGGUAAAUUUCAUCUAAAGCUAAAUAUUGGCAGAGACCGAUAGCGCACAAGUAGAGUGAUCGAAAGAUGAAAAGCACUUUGGAAAGAGAG
rnacentral:rRNA from 1 species